GAGUUUAUCCAUUUGUUUCUCCAUGAAGAAAUAAUUUUUGCAUGGACUUCAAAUCUUUAAUUGGAACUAAGAAGUUUUUCUAUUGCUGAAACACUUCUUGUGUCAUCGAAAUAAAUAGAUAAGCAUAAAUCCUUGCCACCCCUCCUUAUCCUUGGUGCCACUUGGACUUAGAGUCCAAGUGGUUAUGGUCUCUUAUUUUCUCCACACCUAAUCUGGUUGGGUGCCUCCCUUGUUGACCAUUGGA
rnacentral:lncRNA from 1 species